UACGAAGGGGGCUAGCGUUGUUCGGAAUUAUUGGGCGUAAAGAGCUCGUAGGCGGUCUGUCGCGUCGGAUGUGAAAACCCAGGGCUCAACCCUGGGCCUGCAUUCGAUACGGGCAGACUAGAGUUCGGUAGGGGAGACUGGAAUUCCUGGUGUAGCGGUGAAAUGCGUAGAUAUCGAGAGGAACACCUGCGGCGAAGGCGGGUUGCUGGGCUGACACUGACGCUGAGGCGCGAAAGCUAGGGGAGCGAACGGG
rnacentral:rRNA from 1 species